GGAUUAGAUACCCUGGUAGUCCACGCCGUAAACGAUGUCAACUAGUUGUUCGUGUCAUUAAGACGUGAGUAACGCAGCUAACGCACUAAGUUGACCGCCUGGGGAGUACGGCCGCAAGGUUAAAACUCAAAUGAAUUGACGGGGGCCCGCACAAGCGGUGGAGCAUGUGGUUUAAUUCGAUGCAACGCGAAGAACCUUACCAUCCCUUGACAUCCAGUGAACUUUCUAGAGAUAGAUUGGUGCCUUCGGGAACACUGAGACAGGUGCUGCAUGGCUGUCGUCAGCUCGUGCCG
rnacentral:rRNA from 1 species